rnacentral:tRNA from 1 species
UAGCCUAGUGGUUAAGGCUAUGGAUUGUCAAUCCGGAGACGGCGGGUCCGAUUCCCGU